rnacentral:rRNA from 1 species
CACGUAGGGCGCGAGCGUUGUCCGGAAUUAUUGGGCGUAAAGAACUCGUAGGCGGCCUGUUGCGUCCGCUGUGAAAGCCCGGGGCUUAACCCCGGGUCGCAGUGGAUACGGGCAGGCUAGAGGUAGGUAGGGGAGAAUGGAAUUCCCGGUGUAGCGGUGAAAUGCGCAGAUAUCGGGAGGAACACCGGUGGCGAAGGCGGUUCUCUGGGCCUUACCUGACGCUGAGGAGCGAAAGCGUGGGGAGCGAACAGG